rnacentral:lncRNA from 1 species
UCACAUCUGUUUCUGAAACCAGACUUUGUUAAUUAACAGUUUUAAAAUAUUAAUUAGUUUUGACAUCUUGUAAAUUUUAGGUCAAAAAUACAGUCCAGAACUUCCUCAAAGUGCUAACCUUAAGUAACAUAACAGUGUUUGCCUGUUUGCUUGCCUGGUAAAUUUUGCUUUUUAUACUGACAGACAUUACUAAUGUUUAAGUUGAUUUAUCAACAGUAUUUUUAAAAACUCAAAUUUGUCUUGUGAAAAAUGAGAUGAUUAGAGGAACAGAAAGAAAGCAACAGGUAAAGAAUUCUUCAAUUUACAUAAAUUACAAAUGAUUUGGUGCUAAAUUUAUGCACUAUGACAUUUGGCUUUUAUGCAAUCAUUUUUUUUUCUUUAAAGAUGUUAACACUACCUGAUAUUAAUCAUAAUGUUCCAUUAUGUUGAUUGCUUGUAAUAGGAAGAAAAGGGGUGUCUUCCUGUGCAACUGACACAGCUAGGCUUUGACGGCAGGCCUCCACAAGUACUAUGGACUACAAAUUUUGGAAAAUGUGAUAAAAACAAGGUGGAAGAUUCUUCCAAGGAACCAGUGCGAAGGAAUAAAAAAAUACGUUGUUG